rnacentral:sRNA from 1 species
AUCUCUGGGCAGUUGGCAACCAAAUGGGCUGCGUUGGCAGAGAGGUCGGGGAGAAUCCCUCUAGAGUGACACUUGUUGAACACCGUGCUAUAUCUUCUGCAGGGUGGGGCCUUGCUCCUGAAUAAAGGAAAGACAAGCCCCAGAACUGGAUUCUGUGCAAACUGCUGAUUAUGCUUUCUUGUUUCACCUUGUCUGUUUUAAGAUUGCUCGAGACUUUAAUCCCAACUGGAUGAGUGCUGUGGAAAUCUUGGAUGAUGACAAUUUUCUGGGGGCUGAAAAUGCCUUUAACUUGUUUGUGUGUCAAAAGGAUAGCGCUGCCACCACUGACGAGGAGCGGCAGCACCUCCAGGAGGUUGGUCUUUUCCACCUGGGCGAAUUUGUCAAUGUCUUUUGCCACGGCUCUCUGGUAAUGCAGAAUCUGGGUGAGACUUCCACCCCCACACAAGGCUCGGUGCUCUUCGGCACGGUCAACGGCAUGAUAGGGCUGGUGACCUCACUGUCAGAGAGCUGGUACAACCUCCUGCUGGACAUGCAGAAUCGACUCAAUAAAGUCAUCAAAAGUGUGGGGAAGAUCGAGCACUCCUUCUGGAGAUCCUUUCACACCGAGCGGAAGACAGAACCAGCCACAGGUUUCAUCGACGGUGACUUGAUUGAGAGUUUCCUGGAUAUUAGCCGCCCCAAGAUGCAGGAGGUGGUGGCAAACCUACAGUAUGACGAUGGCAGCGGUAUGAAGCGAGAGGCCACUGCAGACGACCUCAUCAAGGUUGUGGAGGAGCUAACUCGGAUCCAUUAGCCAAGGGCAGGGGGCCCCUUUUCUGACCUUCCCCAAAGGCUUUGCCCUGCUGCCCUCCCCCUCCU